AUCAACACUGGACCUUGAUAGUAACCCAUACAGUAAAAAAAUAUAUUUUAUCUGGCCAAAAUAUAUUUUAAAUAUAUGGUAAAUAUAUGUUGUAAACAAUGAAGCUCAAUGAAAUAUAUUUUUGAAACUGAAAAUAUAUUUUGUUUCAACCUUCAUAUACUUAAAAUUUAUUUAAAAAUGUAUUUCAGGGGCAAGAAAAUACAUUUAUAUUUAAAAAAUACAUUUCAGGGCGCAAGAAAAUACAUUUCCAAUCUUACAGUCGACAAUGCAAAUGUGGGUGAUCAAAACUACAUUCCAUUAAAUGUUAGAAGAAUUUUAAACACUUACAGAAAAAAAACAAAAAAAAAACAUGAAUUUCCCCAUAUUUUCCACAUUGACUACUUUUAAUCUAUUAUUUAUUAAUUACUUUAUUUAUUCAUUUGUAUAUUUAUUUGUAAUUUAAUGUCAGUGUAAUAGCGUUUAAAUGCACAUCAAAUAAAAAUAAAUAGAUUAAUAAAAUCGUUAGAUGUACGAUGUUAAUAACUGUGACGUAAUUUGAAUGGGAAACCACUAGCAGCGCUCACGGACUUUUGGAGUACUGCGCAUGCGCGUCAUUUUGAUCUGUAACGGUCGUUAGUCAACCGAGAGUUCUCGGAGGGAAAGGUAAGAGCUAUAUCUUUAUUUUCAGUUAUCAUUUUUGACAUAUGUAAUGUUAAUUGCUAAUUCGGAUGUAUAAUGUUUUGUAUUGUCAAGAUUUUUUUAUUUUUUUUUAUUUUUUGUCAAUUGAAUGACCUGUUUGUUUCAUUUGCUCACAUGAGGAGACGCAUCUGAGAUUUUUAUAUUUCCGUUUUAACGUUAACGUAGUUGUUUUUAAUUUGGACACUAGUCAAAACUAACGUUACAUACAAAAAAAUUUUUUUUUUUUUUUUUUAAAUUUCAGCUGCAGAGUGUUUGGGAGAUCGAUCUGUUGUUGAUCGAUGAUGCUCACGUGAUCCUGUCACUGAUAGUGGAGCCUGUAAGUUUUUUGCUAAAUUUAAAUGUUUUUCUAAACUUGUUAAUUUGGCACACGUUAUUCGCUCAUUAUUAAAGUUCAGGCAUACGCUGGUUUGGCAUUAAUGGCAUUUCAUUCUCUCAAAUUUUCUAUUAUUAUUUUUUAAUAUAGCCUAGGUUAUAGAAUACUGUAGUUUUUGUUCACUUUCUGCUGAAUGACAAGCUGUUUUCGAUGAACCAAUUGAGCCAGUGACAAAAGAUGCUUAUUUGUCACCACCUACAGGUUUACAUGUGUCAUUCAUUACUGUAAAAAAUCUACUUUUUAUUUUCAGUAGCAGAAGCGGAGACAGUUUGUGCAACAGCAACAAGGUGAGAAUGAGCAUGAGACACUUUAAGAAGUAGAAUAAUUUUUUUUUUUUUUUUAUUUAAUUAUUUUAUUUGUGUAAUUUAUGAAUUGAUAUGUUCUCUGCACUUGUGUCUUUGUUAAUAUCUGUUUCUGUCUGUCUGGAACAGGUGCGGGUCCAAACCCAUCUGUCAAGACGCUUCUUUGUCCACUUGCUGUCCGCCCCACCAGCCCAACGAUUGUGCUGGAGAGCCUCUGACCACAAGUCAUAGAAAAAGAGAAUGUCAUAAUCAUGUGGAACAGCAUGAGGGAGCAAAGAGCAAAACUGACAGUGGUGGAGAGAGAAGAAGUGCCCUUGACGAGGAAACCAUGGCAGCCAUAUAUACGGUAAG